UACAGAGGUCUCGAGCGUUGUUCGGAUUCAUUGGGCGUAAAGGGUGCGUAGGUGGGUCUGUAAGUCCGUGGUGAAAUCUCCAAGCUUAACUUGGAAACUGCCAUGGAUACUAUAGGUCUUGAAUACCGUGGAGGUGAGCGGAAUAUGUCAUGUAGCGGUGAAAUGCUUAGAUAUGACAUAGAACACCAAUUGCGAAGGCAGCUCACUACUCAAUCAUUGACUCUGAGGCACGAAAGCGUGGGGAUCAAACAGG
rnacentral:rRNA from 1 species